AUUGAACGCUGGCGGCAUGCCUUACACAUGCAAGUCGAACGGCAGCACGGGUGCUUGCACCUGGUGGCGAGUGGCGAACGGGUGAGUAAUAUAUCGGAACGUACCUUAUUGUGGGGGAUAACGCAGCGAAAGCUGUGCUAAUACCGCAUAAUCCCUAAGGGGGAAAGCGGGGGACCGUAAGGCCUCGCGCAAUUAGAGCGGCCGAUACCUGAUUAGCUAGUUGGUGAGGUAAAGGCUCACCAAGGCAACGAUCAGUAGCUGGUCUGAGAGGACGAUCAUCCACACGGGGACUGAGACACGGCCCAGACUCCUACGUGAGGCAGCAGUGGGGAAUUUUGGACAAUGGGGGCAACCCUGAUCCAGCAAUGCCGCGUGAGUGAAGAAGGCCUUCGGGUUGUAAAGCUCUUUUGUCAGGGAAGAAACAGCAGCUCUAACACAGUUUGCGAAUGACGGUACCUGAAGAAUAAGCACCGGCUAACUACGUGCCAGCAGCCGCCGUAA
rnacentral:rRNA from 1 species